GCAAGGCCUUGCGCUCUUUGAGCGGCCGAUGUCAGAUUAGCUAGUUGGUGAGGUAAAGGCUUACCAAGGCGACGAUCUGUAGCGGGUCUGAGAGGAUGAUCCGCCACACUGGAACUGAGACACGGUCCAGACUCCUACGGGAGGCAGCAGUGGGGAAUUUUGGACAAUGGGGGCAACCCUGAUCCAGCCAUGCCGCGUGAGUGAAGAAGGCCUUCGGGUUGUAAAGCUCUUUCGGCCGGGAAGAAAUCGCAUGGGCCAAUACCCUGUGUGGAUGACGGUACCGGAAUAAGAAGCACCGGCUAACUACGUGCCAGCAGCCGCGGUAAUACGUAGGGUGCGAGCGUUAAUCGGAAUUACUGGGCGUAAAGCGUGCGCAGGCGGUUUUGUAAGACAGGCGUGAAAUCCCCGGGCUUAACCUGGGAACUGCGUUUGUGACUGCAAGGCUAGAGUACGGCAGAGGGGGGUGGAAUUCCACGUGUAGCAGUGAAAUGCGUAGAGAUGUGGAGGAACACCAAUGGCGAAGGCAGCCCCCUGGGUCGAUACUGACGCUCAUGCACGAAAGCGUGGGUAGCAAACAGGAUUAGAUACCCUGGUAGUCCACGCCCUAAACUAUGUCAACUAGGUGUUGGGUGGGUAAAACCAUUUAGUACCGUAGCUAACGCGUGAAGUUGACCGCCUGGGGAGUACGGCCGCAGGGUUAAAACUCAAAGGAAUUGACGGGGACCCGCACAAGCGGUGGAUGAUGUGGAUUAAUUCGAUGCAACGCGAAAAACCUUACCUACCCUUGACAUGCCAGGAACUUGCCAGAGAUGGCUUGGUGCCCGAAAGGGAGCCUGGACACAGGUGCUGCAUGGCUGUCGUCAGCUCGUGUCGUGAGAUGUUGGGUUAAGUCCCGCAACGAGCGCAACCCUUGUCGUUAAUUGCCAUCAUUUAGUUGGGCACUUUAACGAGACUGCCGGUGACAAACCGGAGGAAGGUGGGGAUGACGUCAAGUCCUCAUGGCCCUUAUGGGUAGGGCUUCACACGUCAUACAAUGGUCGGUACAAAGGGUUGCCAAGCCGCGAGGCGGAGCCAAUCCCAGAAAGCCGAUCGUAGUCCGGAUUGCAGGCUGCAACUCGCCUGCAUGAUGUCGGAAUCGCUAGUAAUCGUGGAUCAGCAUGUCACGGUGAAUACGUUCCCGGGUCUUGUACACACCGCCCGUCACACCAUGGGAGCGGGUUCCGCCAGAAGUAGGUAGCCUAACCGCAAGGGGGGCGCUUACCACGGCGGGGUUCGUGACUGGGGUGAAGUCGUAACAAGGUA
rnacentral:rRNA from 1 species